CAGGUAUUUUAUUGCUUUAAUAUUUUGAGUUUUGAGAAGGGACUCGGCGAGUUGGAGCUCAGACUCGCCGAGUAGGGUCGCGAUUCUGGACGCGGGAUUCGUUCGGACUCGGCGAGUCCAGGAUAUGGACUCGGCGAGUCCACGCUGUUUAAUGAAACCCUAAUUUCUCGGGUUUGGGACCUAUUUAAAUGGCCUUAUGGCCGUCAUUUGCAUCCAUCAGUCCAUAGAGAGAAACCCUAAAAGUGUUUUAGCGAUUUGAGAGUGAAAGGAGGCAUUUCUUGACAUUUGUGUGUUGUUUAGCAAAGAAGAAGGAGACUCUAGGCAAGAGGAGGCAAAGGGGACUGCUAUUUGGUGGAUUUGAAGCUUGUCCCUUCAAUCUAAAGGAGGAUUAGAGCUCGGAGGAUCGAGCACGAGGGAUUUCCAGGGAUCGUGAGAUACCGAGACGCGCGAGGUACUAGCGAUGACCGUGGGAAGGCGCCGGCUUGAUCUGUACACACGCAGGGGACUUUGAUAUAUUUACAUUGAUCUUGGGAUUUUUGUGUAAUGAGAAUUGAGAUUUAAAAUCUGAUGUUUUAUGGAAAAUGAAUGAGAAAUGUUUCUAUAAAUU